GAAGCAUCCUGUUAAGUCAGGCAACGAACGAAGGCCCGGUUGCCCACUGUUACCAGCAUAUCCUCCGGGAUGAUGGGUACUCUGUGGGGGACCGCCGGGUGUUAAAUCGGAGGAAGGUGCGGGCCACGGUAGGUCAGUAUGCCCCGAAUUUCCCGGGCUACACGCGGGCUACAAUGAAUGGGACAAUGGGUCCCUCCCCUGAAAAGGGCUGGUAAUCUCACAAACCCAUCCUUAGUUCGGAUCGAGGGCUGUAACUCGCCCUCGUGAAGCUGGAAUCCGUAGUAAUCGCGUUUCAAUAUAGCGCGGUGAAUACGUCCCUGCUCCUUGCACACACCGCCCGUCAAACCACCCGAGUGAGGUAUGGGUGAGGGCACGAACUCUGUGUCGUGUUCGAACCUGUGCUUUGCAAGGGGGGUUAAGUCGUAACAAGGUAGCCG
rnacentral:rRNA from 1 species